UGUCUCUCUCGGUUCUCCUGACAGGCGUGGUGGAGAGGCUGCGGAGGGAGGCACCGGGGCUUUGCCCCUGGGCCUGGCUCAGCUGGGGCUGGAACAGCCCCCUCAGGGCUUCUUGGGGAUAAAUUUGUAGCCAAAACUCAACUUGUGCUGGGCAGGCAGGUCCCAAGCACACUGCCAGCUGCUCUGGCUCCCCUGCCAGCUGUGCCCAGCUCUGCUGGAUCCUGCAGGAACCUGGGGAGCCCCUGGAGCUGUGCUUGGGCACCGAUGGAAAGAUCCCUUUGCACAGGGCCCUUCUGAAGACAUAACCCUGCUGAAAGGAACAGAUGCAUUCCCUUAGGAAGUGAUCCAGCCCCAAACUGUGUCUGACGAGCUGCUCACCAAGGCCUGCCUUCAUCUGCUUGGAGCCUGAUGAAUAUUCCUACAGCUCCUCCGAGGGAAGGGGAGAACAAGGAAAUACGGGCUAAAAGUGUAGAUCCCUGCUAGUGAGUUUGUUUCUACAUGACAAAACAUAACAGGAGACAUGCCUGAAUAACAGCAGUGAGUGUUGGAGAGGGUGUAUUUUUGAUCUCCUGUAUUUUCCUUUAGGCAGAAUGUUUUAUUCCUUCCUGAAUUUGUAGUGGUUCUGAUGAUUUACUUGCACAUAAUCUUGGCUUUUUUUUUUUUUUUGCCUUUCCUAUUUGAGAAUUAGUGGCUCUAAUGAAAUUACAGCUGAACUUGUAAUAGUUAAGCAGAUCCCUCAGCUGUUUCAUGAUGCAGAGGUGCUCCAAGAUGCUGACUUUCCAUGUAGCUUUAGCUGACAUUGUAUGUAAGGCAAUUGUAAUGCAAUAGAGUUACCUGUCAGCAUAUAUUUGUAGGUGUGGAAAAUGCCACUCAGAGAACACAGAUCUCAUAUUCCCCGAAGCUUUUUC